GGUAGGAUGGCUGAAUGUUUAAGCGGCGGGUUGUAGCCCCGUGGAUAGAGGUUUAAUUCCUCUUCUUAUC
rnacentral:tRNA from 1 species